GCAACCCUCCUAAGCCUUGUUUUUAGGAGUAACCUGGGAUCUUUUUAAGCUCGUUAUAGGAAGACGCGCUAUAUGAGUAAUCUAUCCUAGUAGACAUUAUACUAGGAAGCUCCUGAGUCAACCUCUAAUCUAUAAGCCAGUCAGCGGGAUAUAUGAAUAUGAACUUCUCUAAGAGAACAGUUCAACGGGUUUAAUUGAAUUCCGUUAUCUGAUCAGAUUAGAUAUUAUCUAAGACUGUAUAAUAGAGACCUAACUAACUGGAUUGCUAGCAGUGAUCAUACCCGAUGAUGUGAACCCGAUUGAAUCAGCUCUUGUGAUCAUAUCCCAUGCUAUCAAUGGGAGUGAAGUCCGCCUAUCCAUCAACAUAAAAGUGAAAGGAGCCCGCUAACUACUGCACUUCCUAAUGUGAUAUUGAGUUUUGCCUAAACUUGCCCGCCCAUACUCUUAACUUUUCGCUUAAGCUCUCAGACUAGAGCUAUUCUCACUAAACCGAAAAUUAUAAUAUACCCCUCUCUCCUCUCUCCUCAAUGGCUAAAUACCAAAGCUAACCUUAAAUGGGUUAAAGACCGAGCCAGAACAGGAGCUUAGCCUCAAUCUUAGAUAGGAGAUUACCCAUAACAACUCAACUACGUCGAGCCUUGUCUUGAACAAGCCAAUCAACCUCAAUCCUAGGAAAUGAUUUCAGGUGAAGCUCACCCCUCUUGUUCUCAUCUUAAGGGAAGGCCCAGGCGCAGAAGGAAGACUCUUUGAUCGGGUAGUUCCUGUUCUCAGUCAUCUUAGGUGCGGUUGGCCAAUUAAUUACUUAAAUUUAUAGCGCGAGCCCCACUCAUACAAGUAGGGGAAAACUCUAGUUCAACUGUUUUUUUAUUCAGAUUCAGAAUUGGCUGGGCCUUAACCGUAGCUUUAGGGCCAAAAGCCUAUCUAUGGCCUUUUGGCUGGGGGUAGCUAUGGCAAGGGUAGUUUCCUCGGAAAAAGGAGGGGAAGCCCCGACUUUCCAAUAAGGCCCGGGGGAAUGAAAACACUCAACCGAUGGGGGGAGGAAUGAACAGCAGCUCUAGGGGAUAAAUGUGGAUAUCCAGUGGCAACUGAGCAGGAGCAGCUCUACCCGCACAUAGCUAAAUAUCCCCCUUCCACGCCACCCAGUUGGUGAGCUCCGCCCUUAAGGGAGCCCAUCCGUCGGUCGGCCAAUAUUGGAUAGUAAACUAGCGCACAGGGUAACUCGAAUAUCAAAUAUAAGAAUAGCAGCCCCGGUCUCAAAAACAAGCAUGGAAACAGCAGUCAAUCAGAAAGAUAAGUUGAAGUUAGCUUUCAGCUGUUCAACCACUAAAGACUAAAGUGGGUGAAGCAUAGUUUCGUCCGUCCCUCUCGCUUUCAGCGCGGGAUAGAGUUAUCAGUACGUGCGACACCAACUCUUGCGUUUUCACUUUUUUUUUAUACAUAUAUAGAUAAAUUCCUACCAUAUUUCGUUACUUUAUCCCGAAAAAGGGGAGCUGCUGGGCUCCUUCCUGUUUUAUUAGCAUCAAACCCACUCAACAGGAUAUUCCAUAAGCACUCCGGAAGGUAUAGUGUGAAGGAAAGUAGGUCCCUUACAUGAGAGUUUGCGAACACGGGGGGCUUAUGCUCCUGCUGCUCAUAUGGAACAGGUUGGCCCCCAAAAGCCCCAAGGGAACGAGCGAAAGGGCUGCUUGCCGGAACAGCAGAUCGAGCAGCCUAUUAUUUAUUACAUUUCUGCCCCAACUAUUCCAAAAAGGGUAAAAAAUGGGUCUAAUUCUGAGACAAAAGUAAUUUAACAUCCCUGAUUCGGAAACUGCUGCAGUGGGAACUCUACUUGCCAUUCCUCCUUCCGAAGUGAAAGUUUUCAUUCUCCCCUUGGCCCAGUUGAAAAGCCUAACCCCAGGUGAAGUACCAGAUUCUUAAGUGAAAGUAAGGAAUUGCCCCUGUCUGAUUCGUAAAGCUUUCGGAGAAGGAGGGGAGAUCCGCGGAGGUAGAAUUCUGAAUACGGGUACGAAGGGUCAUCCAGAAGCGCUGGAAGGGCUGGAGGAAGGGGACGAACCGCAUCGAUUGAGUUAUAUCCGGCAGGCUAACACCCACGUACCUAGAAAGGAAGGGGAAAGUCUUACCUUUUGGAAACAUAAGGCGCAUCAGAAAGGAAUCCGGAUAUAUUUAGAUAGCCAGAUUCACGAGCUGAGGACUAAGUCGAAGCGAAAGUCUGUGCCAUUGUUAGUGCCAAGACCCUAGAAUAGUGAACACCAAGUGAAGAGCCACCUCCGGGAACGUCGAGAAGGGGGACGAACAGCUUUGAUUGGAUCCGAUCUGGUAGACAGAGACGAAGACAAGGAUGAAUAAUCUGAAGAAGGCUAUGCCGAAUCCGAGGGAAGAAGAAGACUACGAAGAAGGAAGCCGAUGCCUAGGCCGAGGCUGGUGCCUAAUUCUAUGCUUGAAGCCUAAGCUAGAGCUGGAGCUGAAGCCUAAUUAUAAGUUUCAUCUAAAGCUGAAGUUAGGGCUGGAGCCUGAGUUGGUGUUGAUGUCCUAGAGUAGCGAAACUACAAGUGAAGGGGCGCUAUCCGGAACCCUUAAGGUCGGGGACAAUCUGCUUCGAUUGGGCCUUGCAGGCAGACAGGCUAACUUGUGGAGACGAAAUGGAAUCCUAUAAGAAUGUCGAGUCCCGAGGGUCUGCAUGCAAGAGGCUGAGCUAACAAGCUGGCUGAAUAUAUCAUGGGGAUGCCCGAUUUGCGAUUGAGCUAGCCGAUAAGUAUAAUCUCUCCGGUCUGGCAUGAGCCACUCCAUUCCUACUUCCACUCAACAAAAAAGAUAGGAUUCUUGGGCUCUACCUCCAGAGUGCGUACGGCUAUUUCAGACCAAAGGGGGCCAAGGGGGAUCCCAUAAAUAAUAAAGUAAGAGAAGUAACCCGGGCUAUGAGCUAUUUCGUCGUUUUCUUGCCGGAGUUCGCUAGCCGUUCAAUCCGAUCUUCCCUUCGCAUGGCAGAAGAGCGCGGCUCGAGACUACUCUUUCAAUUAAAAAUGAAAGGCAAGCAGGAAUUUAACCCACUAAUGGGCCAGCUGCAUAAUCACGUAUGUAAGCAAGUGAUCCUCUUCUUUCGCAGGAAGCAUUACUCAUUUCUUCAGAGUUGAAGAAAAGGCUACCGAUUUCCCACUGACUAUUAUGUAAGGGCUUGACCUUGGAUGAUAAAUUCAUGGCUAAGUUAGUCCGUAGUACGAAGCUUUCAAUUCAAGCACCUUUUUUCUAUACUAAAGGCCAAAGGGAAGUUGAAGCCCAACAUCCCGUGGUCGGGAUGGACACCGGUCUGGCCCACACCUACAUGGACUUCAAAUUGACUUCUGAUCGUAACUACUUUAAAAACCUGUGGUUCCUCACGCCUAGUCGACAUAAUGUCUGGCGUUUACCUGACGGUUCCCCAAGCCCCUGAGCUCAUCAAUGAACGGAUUCCAUCUUUCACAGCGAGCUGUUCCGAAGUCGCGCCUGAGCACAGUGAAAUGCCUCUUACGGUCAUCUAUAUCGUGCUCCCAGUCGUCAUGGAGAGCCAACUGGAGAGCACGCUUGACAUCCUCUGGAUCCCCGAGAGUUACUCCACGUUGAUGCAAGAGAAUAUGGGCUUUCCGUACCAUGGCCGCCUCCAAAUUCUCGCAGGCGCUCGUGAUAGUCUCUACCUCGGCAGAGAUGCGGUCGUGCUCUUGUGCCCGAGCCUCCCUUUCCCCACCUUCACCAAAUGGUUGAUCCAGGUGAUCCUGCUGUUGAGCUACUGGGGAAGCGGCGGGUUCGGGUAAGGCAUUGGAUGGCCCAGCCUGUUCCCUCUGAAUCGGUUGAUUCACCGACGAGGAGGUACGCCCGGAACUGGCCGAAUCCUCCAAAUCAGACGUGUAGGUAAACCACUCUGAAUAGGAAGAUGCCCCGUUAGGGCCCGUAGAAGGAAGUGCUUCCCCUCCCCCUCCUAUGGCAUUCCAGACCAAAGGAGGUACCAACAGGGGCAAAGCCAGACCCAGUAGGUGGAUGGCUUUGAUCCGUAUCAAAGAUAUUCCCACCGCGAUGAAAAAGACCAAAAAGAGAUAGAUAAUCUUCUUCAGUGGCCCUUUCAACCGGAAGGAAUGCAAAUAAAAGGCGGCGACCCCGCCGAGGAGUGUAAGUGUAACCACUAAAACAGUGGUGGUCGCCAAUGAUGGAUUUCGAGCCACAGAAUGGAUCAAAGAACUGAAUACGUUUCCAAUACCGAUAGCAGCUCCCGCUGAAGCAAUUGUAGCAGCUCCGGCACCUAUUGAUUUUGCACCUUCUAACAUCUCGGGUUGAGAAUUAUACUCACGCUUUGUCAUUCACUUAUCUUAUAUCUUAUUGAUUCCUCGUCGAUUCUUACCCUCGUUCCUUUGAUCUUGGACAUCUCACUUGGAAUGCAUUCUUUGCGAUCUUAUACCCACGGAGUGGUAGACUGAAGACCAACUGAAUCUCGACAAAGAGAAGUACAAGCAAGUAGAUCAUUCGACGUCAGAGGGGCUGAUGUGGGUCGGGCUAUCUAUCUUGCUAUCUUUUUUUUUAUACAUACCGUAUUAUUCUAUCAAUCGGGAAGUUGGCCUCACUCAAUAGCGGGAAGUUGGCCUCACUCAAUCAAUAGUCGGAUACAAUCGUGGACACCGUAGACCUGCUUCGCCUAGAGUGGAUCAGGUCCUUAUACGUAAGGCGAUCCCGCGAAGCCGGUCACCGGAGGUGAAGUCAACCAUCAUUUCUUUUCUUACUAAAUUCAACUAUGUAUUCUGAUUAAAGAGCUUAUUCUCUUGAUUCAUGUCCACCUUGCCCCUGGUAACUUAAGGAUGAGUUUCGAAAUUAGGAAGGAUUGGACUGCAGAUUUAGAAAGAGAAUGGGGAGCCCUCAUCAAUGAAUUAAUGAGUUUCUUCGCCCUCUCUUGGUGAUAGUAGCUCUUCAUCAGCUUAUAGUAGGAGCUGAGCUCUUCCGCUAGCUUACUAGCUCUGGUAGUCAGGCUCUUCGGUCAAUAG
rnacentral:lncRNA from 1 species